CUGUAACCGGUUUCGAAUGUCGUGGCAGAUCUGUGAAUGUUGCCGCGAGUGCUCCGAGCCCUUUCACUACAUGAUGCGACUGGACGUGCACACGAACUGUGUCAGCCUGAUCCAUCCCUGUCAAGAUGUGUCCAGACAUCCAGCAUUCACUGUGUCUGAGCGAGACAUCUGAUCACCAACCUCCCACCUCCACGAAGAAAAGAUUUCCUCUGCGGGCUUUGACGAAUGGAGAGUGAGUCUUUCACGCAGGUCAUCGCGGAAACGAGCGAGGACCGCUGAGCUGAUUGUCGGAAGAGCUGAACCCGGUGUUGAGAAAUGUGUUUCCAACUGAAAAAAAAAUUGUGUGUGGAAUCAGCAUGUCCUCCUGCAAAGAAAACAUCAAUACUGCAUCAUCUGACAAACCAAGGAUUUUGUGGAAUUGUGUUCACAUUGAAUGGACAACAUGAUAAAUAUAUUAAACAAAAUAAUAAUUUAUAGAAAAAAUGUAUUUAUUCAUCAGUCUUUUAAACCACAAA